GCAAGUGUGGUAUAGUGGUUUGACCACUGGACUACAAUUCUUGAGACCAGGGUUCAAAUCCCCACUCAACCA